rnacentral:rRNA from 1 species
CACAGCGAAAGGUGCUUGCACCUUUCAAGUGAGUGGCGAACGGGUGAGUAACACGUGGAUAACCUACCUCAAGGUUGGGGAUAACAUUUGGAAACAGAUGCUAAUACCGAAUAAAACUUCGUAUCGCAUGAUACAAGGUUAAAAGGCGCUACGGCGUCACCUAGAGAUGGAUCCGCGGUGCAUUAGUUAGUUGGUGGGGUAAAGGCCUACCAAGACAAUGAUGCAUAGCCGAGUUGAGAGACUGAUCGGCCACAUUGGGACUGAGACACGGCCCAAACUCCUACGGGAGGCUGCAGUAGGGAAUCUUCCACAAUGGGCGAAAGCCUAAUGGAGCAACGCCGCGUGUGUGAUGAAGGCUUUCGGGUCGUAAAGCACUGUUGUAUGGGAAGAACAGCUAGAGUAGGGAAUGACUUUAGUUUGACGGUACCAUACCUGAAAGGGACGGCUAAAUACGUG